rnacentral:rRNA from 1 species
AUGAACGCUGGCGGCGUGCCUAAUACAUGCAAGUCGAGCGAACGGACGAGAAGCUUGCUUCUCUGAUGUUAGCGGCGGACGGGUGAGUAACACGUGGAUAACCUACCUAUAAGACUGGGAUAACUUCGGGAAACCGUAGCUAAUACCGGAUAAUAUUUUGAACCGCAUGGUUCAAAAGUGAAAGACGGUCUUGCUGUCACUUAUAGAUGGAUCCGCGCUGCAUUAGCUAGUUGGUAAGGUAACGGCUUACCAAGGCAACGAUGCAUAGCCGACCUGAGAGGGUGAUCGGCCACACUGGUACUGAGACACGGUCCAGACUCCUACGGGAGGCAGCAGUAGGGAAUCUUCCGCAAUGGGCGAAAGCCUGACGGAGCAACGCCGCGUGAGUGAUGAAGGUCUUCGGAUCGUAAAACUCUGUUAUUAGGGAAGAACAUAUGUGUAAGUAACUGUGCACAUCUUGACGGCACCUAAUCAGAAAGCCACGGCUAACUACGUG